GUCUUUUUGAUUAUAAUUUAAAGUCUAACCUGCCCACUGAAUUUUUUGAAGGGCCGCGGUAUUUUGACUGUGCAAAGGUAGCAUAAUCAUUAGUCUUUUAAUUGAAGGCUUGUAUGAAUGGUUGGAUGAGGUAAUAACUGUCUCAAAUUAAUAAAUAAUAAAAUUUUAUUUUUAAGUUAAAAAGCUUAAAUAUAAUUAGAGGACGAGAAGACCCUAUAGAUCUUUAUAAAUUAAUAAAUUUUAAUUUUUUAGUUAAAAUAUGUUUUUAUCUGUUAAUUUAUUUUAUUGGGGUGAUAAAAAAAUUUAAAAAACUUUUUUUUUAAUUAAACAAUGAUUUUUGAUUAAUUGAUCCGUUAUUAGUGAUUAAAAGAUUAAGUUACCUUAGGGAUAACAGCGUAAUUUUUUUGAAGAGUUCAUAUCGAUAAAAAAGAUUGCGACCUCGAUGUUGAAUUAAAGGUUAACUUUAGGUGUAGAAGUUUAAAGUUUUGGUCUGUUCGACCAUUAAAUC
rnacentral:rRNA from 1 species